rnacentral:snRNA from 1 species
GUUUUCUCAGGAUAGAAGCCCACAUAUACUAAAAUUGAAAUGAUACAGAGAGGAUUAACAUGGCCCCUGCACAGGGGUCUGACUUCUUAUAGCCAUGGUGUGGUGUUGCUAAUGUCU